rnacentral:rRNA from 1 species
GACGAACGCUGGGCGUGCUUAACACAUGCAAGUCGAACGGAAAGGCCCCCUUGUGGGGUACUCGCGUGGCGAACGGGUGAGUAACACGUGAGUAACCUACCCUUGACUUUGGGAUAACUUCAGGAAACUGGGGCUAAUACCGGAUAGGAGCUCCUGCUGCAUGGUGGGGGUUGGAAAGUUUCGGCGGUUGGGGAUGGGCUCGCGGCUUAUCAGCUUGUUGGUGGGGUAGUGGCUCACCAAGGCUUUGACGGGUAGCCGGCCUGAGAGGGUGACCGGCCACAUUGGGACUGAGAUACGGCCCAGACUCCUACGGGAGGCAGCAGUGGGGAAUAUUGCACAAUGGGCGGAAGCCUGAUGCAGCAACGCCGCGUGCGGGAUGACGGCCUUCGGGUUGUAAACCGCUUUCGCCUGUGACGAAGCGUGAGUGACGGUAAUGGGUAAAGAAGCACCGGCUAACUACGUG